GCAGAUCUGUUGCCAAAUAAACCCUGGCCAAAUAAGCGUAUGCCAACUUCCUUAUGUUUCAGUUUAGGAAAGGGAGCGCUCCGAUUCUGUACACGUUCUUGUAUGCGAGAAACUUCAUGUACCUGUGGAGUGUUUGGGUUUGAAGAUGGAGAUUACCAGAGAAUAUGGGGUAUAGAAAUGUAGGACCAUCCUCCACAGCCAUCAUCCACUAUCAUUCUCAGCAUCCAAGUCACUGCACUACCUUCGUAGUCUAAUCAUCUCCCUUAUAUCACCCCCAGCCAUGUAAAGCUAUCACGGAAGCCACAGGUACUGGACAACCUACUCUGACUUUGAAGUUGGCCCUUUGAGCAGAGGGUUGAGUCUGAUGACCUCCUGAGGUCCCUUCCAACCUACACUAUUCUGUGAUCCUGUGAUCAACAGACUCCCCUCUCCUUGGAAGUAACAAGUCUGUAACCGUGUGCACAGACCUCUAAGAUAUUGCUUUCAGCACUGGAAUUGUCUUCUGCAGCUAUACCUGUUGACUUCAACUUAUUUUUCAUGGCAGUCUCACAGAGUUAGAAAGCUAACCAUAACGCUGCUAUCCAACAGAGUCCAUCCAUCUGAUAACACAACAAGAGGGCGUCAAUAAUGAGGAGAUAGGUAUCUUGGAAACUUCUUUUAGUAACAUAAUUAGACCUUGCAUGUCAGCUCCACACUUGCAGCCACCAAAGGGAGGCUCUCUCUCCUACCCACACUGCUGAGCGGUUUAGUUAAGAACUGUACCAUGAAUCCCACUGAAUUUCUUGAUGAAAAGGUGUGCUGGAGAGGCCACUGAGAUGAAUCUCCAAACCUUUUUUCUCCUUUUUAGUCAGGGUGUGGUUUACAAGUCAACAGAGAUGAAAACUUUCCCCUAUUUAUCUGACUUUGUUUCAUAGAACUGCUGAUUGCAGCGUUGUUUUAAUACAUUAAUAAAACCUGUGAGACUCUGCGCUUGAUCA
rnacentral:lncRNA from 1 species